rnacentral:rRNA from 1 species
AGCCAGACUCCUACGGGAGGCAGCAGUGGGGAAUAUUGCACAAUGGGGGAAACCCUGAUGCAGCGACGCCGCGUGAGCGAUGAAGUAUUUCGGUAUGUAAAGCUCUAUCAGCAGGGAAGAAAAUGACGGUACCUGACUAAGAAGCCCCGGCUAACUACGUGCCAGCAGCCGCGGUAAUACGUAGGGGGCAAGCGUUAUCCGGAUUUACUGGGUGUAAAGGGAGCGUAGACGGCUGUGCAAGCCAGAUGUGAAAGCCCGGGGCUCAACCCCGGGACUGCAUUUGGAACUGUGUGGCUGGAGUGUCGGAGAGGCAGGCGGAAUUCCUAGUGUAGCGGUGAAAUGCGUAGAUAUUAGGAGGAACACCAGUGGCGAAGGCGGCCUGCUGGACGAUGACUGACGUUGAGGCUCGAAAGCGUGGGGAGCAAACAGGAUUAGAUACCCUCGUAC